rnacentral:rRNA from 1 species
AGUGAACGCUGGCGGUAGGCCUAACACAUGCAAGUCGAACGGCAGCACAAUAAGAGCUUGCUCUUACGGGUGGCGAGUGGCGGACGGGUGAGGAAUACAUCGGAAUCUACUUUUUCGUGGGGGAUAACGUAGGGAAACUUACGCUAAUACCGCAUACGACCUACGGGUGAAAGCAGGGGAUCUUCGGACCUUGCGCGAUUGAAUGAGCCGAUGUCGGAUUAGCUAGUUGGCGGGGUAAAGGCCCACCAAGGCGACGAUCCGUAGCUGGUCUGAGAGGAUGAUCAGCCACACUGGAACUGAGACACGGUCCAGACUCCUACGGGAGGCAGCAGUGGGGAAUAUUGGACAAUGGGCGCAAGCCUGAUCCAGCCAUACCGCGUGGGUGAAGAAGGCCUUCGGGUUGUAAAGCCCUUUUGUUCGGAAAGAAAAGCAGCAGGUUAAUACCCCGCUGUUCUGACGGUACCCAAAGAAUAAGCACCGGCUAACUUCGUG